GAUGAACGCUGGCGGCGUGCCUAAUACAUGCAAGUCGAGCGGAGUUAUACGCUGAAAAGAAGGUGCUUGCACCGGGAGUUCUUGUAUAACUUAGCGGCGGACGGGCGAGUAACGCGUGGAUAAUCUGCCCUGCACUGCGGGAUAAGCACUAGAAAUGGUGUCUAAUACCGCAUAAGCCCCCGCCAUCGCAUGAUGGAGAGGGAAAAGAUUUAUCGGUGCAGGAGGAAUCCGCGUCCUGUUAGCUAGUUGGUGAGGUAACGGCUCACCAAGGCAACGAUGGGUAGCCGGACUGAGAGGUUGACCGGCCGCACCGGGACUGAGACACGGCCCGGACUCCUACGGGAGGCAGCAGUAAGGGAUAUUGCACAAUGGGCGGAAGCCUGAUGCAGCAACGCCGCGUGAAGGACGAAGGUCUUCGGAUUGUAAACUUCUAUCGAUGGGGAAUAAAAAAAUGAAGGUACCCAAGUAAGAAGCCCCGGCUAACUACGUGCCAGCAGCCGCGGUAAAACGUAGGGGGCAAGCGUUAUCCGGAAUUACUGGGUGUAAAGGGUGAGUAGCCGGCUUUGUAAGUCAUGGGUGAAAUUCCGAAGCUUAACUUCGGAACUGCCCAAGAAACUGCAAAGCUAGAGUAUGGGAGAGGUUAGCGGAAUUCCUUGUGUAGCGGUGAAAUGCGUAGAUAUAAGGAAGAACACCAGUGGCGAAGGCGGCUAACUGGACCAAAACUGACGGUGAGUCACGAAAGCGUGGGGAGCGAACAGGAUUAGACACCCUGGUAGUCCACGCCGUAAACGAUGUUAGCUAGGUGUCGGGGUGAGAGCCUCGGUGCCGGCGCAAACGCAAUAAGCUAACCACCUGGGGAGUACGGCCGCAAGGCUGAAACUCAAAGGAAUUGACGGGGGCCCGCACAAGCGGUGAGCAUGUGAUUAAUUCGAUGCAACGCGAAGAACCUUACCGGGGCUUGACAUGGAGCGAAUCAUCAGAGAUGAUGCCUCCCUUCGGGCGGCUCACACAGGUGGUGCAUGAUUGUCGUCAGCUCGUGUUCUGAAAUGUGGGUAGUCCCGCCACGAGCGCACCCUAUCUCAGUCCCAGACGUAUGUGUACGCUUGGAAGAACUGCGGAAUAACACGGGAGUAAGGGUGGGGAAUGAUAUGUUU
rnacentral:rRNA from 1 species